rnacentral:lncRNA from 1 species
CAGAUUUGCUUUCUUCUUCUUUUUUGUCCUAAUAAAAAGCCUGUAGUUAUUUUGCUUUUAUUUUAUUUCAUGAAAAUCAAACCAUAUUCUAUAGAUUUUUAAUGUAACCUAAGUGCUUUGUGAAUACAAUGACCCUGUGGGGAGCCAGGUUGAGAACAGUACACUCCUUACGUGAAAUUGUUCACUUGUUAGAGGACUUAUUUACAAAAUUAGAUCUUCCAGCGUUUUGUGAAAGCAUCAGAGUGAUUUGGAGCAGUCAAUUUGUCUGCCACGAGAAAACAGUUUUAUUUUAAAAUGCAUAUUAACUUAAUGGUUAUUCGUAAUCAAGUGUACAUCAUUUCCAACUUACCGCAGUUUUAAAAUACAUAAGUGAAUGUGUAGUGUGAAUGUUUGAAGCAUACGAAAUUCAAACCAAUUGUGGCUCAGCAGGUUAGUAACCCAACUAGUAUCCAUGAGGAUAUGGGUUUGAUCCCUGGCCUUGCUCAGUGGGUUAGGGAUCUGGUGUUGCUGCAGGCUGUGAUGUAGGUUGCAUAUGCAACUGGGAUCUGGUGUUGCUGUGACGGUGGCAUAGGCCAGCAGCUGCAGUUCCCAUUCGACCCCUAGCCUGGGAACUUCCGUAUGCCUCAGAUGCAGCCAUUAAAAAAAAAAAAGAAUGUGAUGAAGAAGAAGUUAGAUUUUGUUAUCCAGUUCUUGCUUAACACCACCUUAGAGAAAUGCCUGUGGUGUUAAAACUGAUUCCAAGCCCAGAUUCUAUCUGUUCUCUUGUAAAUAUUGGCUGUUGAUCACAAGUGGGAGAAUGUGGUCCAUGAUACAAAUCCCUAUCAAUAUUUAAAAAGCAACUCAGUUCAACUCAGUUUUCCAAGUGUUUAAGAUUUGGUGCUAAGGGGGUGCUUCUGGUUCAUGAGGAAGAGAGACAUGGGCAUCUUGAGAGAUCUGAGGAAACAUAAGAAAAGAAAUGACACUCUUCUUCCCUUUCUACUCCUCAGGUUUGAAAAGUUUGAGAAAUAAAAUAAGAGAGUCAGUCUUUGUUGCUGAUAAAUGCUAGUUGGGAGUGUGGAGCUCAGUGCCAGAGAGGUCAUGCUGUCUCGCCCACCUGGUGGGUUGUGCUCUCUGCAGGCAGCACGCUCUCCAGGGAACAGGAGAGGUUUGAACUGAACCUUUUAGGUUAGUCUUCCCCAAAUCACCUGAGUGAGCUCACUGCUUCAGGGGAAAAGUGAUCAAGGGACAGAGAAUGGCCCCGUUACUACUGCUAACUGAACUCUAUUCCAUGUAGAAGGAAAUGCCAGUAGUGGAGAAACAGUGGUGUUCCCAUACAUAUCUGGUUACAGGAGAGUAAACCAGAGUAAGCAUUUCUUGAUGGGCAGAGACUCAAAUCAUGAUGGGAACACAGAGAAAGAAUGCCUUCUAUAAAGAGCUAGAGCUUGAAACAUGGAUGUGAUUUUUGUCAACUAGUAUAAGAAGAAAAGAAUAUUCCUGUCAGAGGAAUUGUGAGAAAAAUAGUAGAGACAGACUAGUUCAGAGAUUCAUUCAUUUAUUCAAUAACAAUUUAUUGAGUAUCUAUUAUGAAUGAGUCAAACAAUUCUAGGUGCUGGGGAUAGAUCAGUGAGCAAAGUGUUUGAUGAAGUCUGUGCUCUCAUAGAACAUGCAGUCUAAUGAGAGGUAGACAAUAAAAAAAAAAUGAGCAAAUAAAUAAUAUACCAGGCCAUGAUAAGUGC